rnacentral:rRNA from 1 species
UACGGAGGGGGCUAGCGUUGUUCGGAAUUACUGGGCGUAAAGCGCACGUAGGCGGCUUUGCAAGUUAGAGGUGAAAGCCCGGGGCUCAACUCCGGAAUUGCCUUUAAAACUGCAUCGCUAGAAUUGUGGAGAGGUAAGUGGAAUUCCGAGUGUAGAGGUGAAAUUCGUAGAUAUUCGGAAGAACACCAGUGGCGAAGGCGGCGACCUGGUCCGAUACUGACGCUGAGGCGCGAAAGCGUGGGGAGCAAACAAG